GUGAGUCAUCGAGUCUUUGAACGCACCUUGCGCUCCUUGGUAUUCCGAGGAGCAUGCCUGUUUGAGUGUCAUUAAAUUCUCAACCCUUUCAGCUUUUGCGAGUUGAAUUGGCUUGGAUGUGGGGGUUGCGGGCUUCUCAGAAGUCGGCUCCUCUUAAAUGCAUUAGCGGAACCUUUGUGGACCAGCUUUGGUGUGAUAAUUAUCUACGCCAUGGCCGUGAAGCAGCUUUACAUGGGGUUCAGCUUCUAACCGUCCAUUGACUUGGACAAUUUCUGACAUUUUUGACCUCAAAUCAGGUAGGACUACCCGCUGAACUUAAGCAUAUCAAUAAGCGGAGG
rnacentral:rRNA from 1 species